AGCGAACGCUGGCGGCAGGCUUAACACAUGCAAGUCGAAGGUGAAGCCGGACUUCGGUCCGGUGGAAACUGGCGCACGGGUGAGUAACGCGUGGGGAUAUGCCCAAGGGUACGGAAUAACCGCUGGAAACGGCGGCUAAUACCGUAUGUUCCCUCAGGGGAAAGCUUCGGCGCCCUUGGAUUAUCCCGCGUCCGAUUAGCUUGUUGGUGAGGUAACGGCUCACCAAGGCUCCGAUCGGUAGCUGGUCUGAGAGGACGAUCAGCCACACUGGGACUGAGACACGGCCCAGACUCCUACGGGAGGCAGCAGUGGGGAAUAUUGGACAAUGGGGGCAACCCUGAUCCAGCCAUGCCGCGUGAGUGAAGAAGGCCCUAGGGUUGUAAAGCUCUUUCAGCGGGGAAGAUGAUGACGGUACCCGCAGAAGAAGCCCCGGCUAACUCCGUG
rnacentral:rRNA from 1 species